rnacentral:rRNA from 1 species
AGCGAACGCUGGCGGCAGGCCUAACACAUGCAAGUCGAACGAACUCUUCGGAGUUAGUGGCGGACGGGUGAGUAACACGUUGGAACGUGCCUUUUGGUUCGGAAUAACUCAGGGAAACUUGUGCUAAUACCGAAUGUGCCCUUCUGGGGAAAGAUUUAUCGCCAUUAGAGCGGCCCGCGUCUGAUUAGCUAGUUGGUGAGGUAACGGCUCACCAAGGCGACGAUCAGUAGCUGGUCUGAGAGGAUGACCAGCCACACUGGGACUGAGACACGGCCCAGACUACUACGGGAGGCAGCAGUGGGGAAUCUUGCGAAAUGGGCGAAAGCCUGAAGAAGCCAUGACGGGUGAAUGAUGAAGGUAUUAGGAUUGUAAAAUUCUUUCAACGGGGAAGAUAAUGACGGUACCCGGAGAAGAAGCCCCGGCUAACUUCGUG